rnacentral:lncRNA from 1 species
AGCUGGUCCAAUGCCCUGGCAUUUUUUCCAGUGAAAAAAUAAAUCUUACAUUUUGUAUGUAUCUUGUUUUGUAUUUUUAUUUUGAUUAAUUGCUAAUGGAAUGAUAUGAUUUUAAUCUAGAUCCAUGUUGUUGCACUUUCCUGGAUGGAAGAGUUUCCUAGAGACUUCUCAAAAAGACAGCAAAGUUUUUCAGCAAACAGUGAAGGAAGAAGACAGAGCCACCAUGUUAAAUGUUAAUUUGCUUUUCUUCUCCCUCUGGAGUCCAGAUGUGUGAACAUCUGAGCCCCUGAAGUUGCCAACAGUCAAUGCAGAUGCAUGCAAGCAAGGAGGCUGGAAGUACUGGAAGCCUUUCAGGUAACUCAAGAUGCCUCGGCUUUGAUUUGAGACCCUCUCUGUUCUCUUUGCACAACUCAGCAAAGUUCCCCCUGUGGUAAAAUGGCCCCAGCUUGGGGCAGUGUCGGGCAGCAGCGCAGUGAUGUUGUGCACGUGGACUCUUGUUGUAACACUGAUACCAGCACAGUGUGUUUGUAGGGAGGCUUGUUUUGUUUGCAAAAGCAAGAAAACUGCUGAAUUGCGGGCAUUAGACGGAUUUGCCUGAACACCUGUAGCUGACUCCCCAGCUGUCUGGAAGGGUGAGCGCUGAACUCAGUCGUGUGGGCCACAGCAUGCUGACAGGUUGGGUGAGGCAGCAAACUGCCAGCUAAAGAGCCACCCCUCCACCUUACAAGUCUCCUCUGACUUCACACUUGGACGUGCGUAACAUUACAUACGUCCAGGUUCUGUAUUUAAAUGUUAUUUUGAACAACUUUUACCGUCUUGUCAUCUAGGUAUCACAAUUUGUGCUCUGUAGCAGUAGCUGUUUAUUUUGAUAUUUUAUCUUUCUUUUUUAUAUAUAUCAUUUGCAAUCCAAACUGACCUUUUUACUACAUAACCACUUUGAAAAAGAGAUGUCCUGCUCACAUAAGGAAUGCCUCGAGAGAAGGGCAGCCCUGCAUAAUUUCCUGUCCUCUCACA